GCUAUGGGGUGGCUAUGGGGUGUCUGUGGGUGCUAUGGGGUGGCUAUGGGGUGGCUAUGGGUGCUACGGGUUGUCUAUGGGUGCUAUAGAGUGUCUAUGGGUGCCAUGGGGUCUCUAUGGGUGCUCUGGGGUGUCUCUGGAUGGGUGCUAUGGGGUCUCUAUGGGGUCUCUGUGGUC